rnacentral:rRNA from 1 species
GAGUAACAGGUGGGUAAUGUGCCUCCGAGUGGGGGGAUAACCCGUUGGAAACAGGGGCUAAUACCGCAUGUGGCUCGACGGGCUGAUGGGCUGUCGGGUUAAAGGUGCGCUUCGCGCGUGCCACUUGGAGAGCAGCCCGCUUCCGAUUAGCUUGUUGGUGGGGUAACGGCCUACCAAGGCAACGAUCGGUAGGUGGCCUGAGAGGGUGGUCACCCACACUGGGACUGAGAUACGGCCCAG